rnacentral:rRNA from 1 species
ACGCUGGCGGCGUGCCUAAUACAUGCAAGUCGAGCGAGAUGUUAGCGCAUGAACCUUCGGGGGAUUAUGCUAACGGACAGCGGCGGACGGGUGAGUAACGCGUAGGCAACCUGCCCUUGACAGAGGGAUAGCCAUUGGAAACGAUGAUUAAAACCUCAUGACACCGUAGAAGCACAUGCUUCAUCGGUCAAAGAUUUAUCGGUCAGGGAUGGGCCUGCGUCUGAUUAACUAGUUGGUGAGGUAACGGCUCACCAAGGUGACGAUCAGUAGCCGACCUGAGAGGGUGAUCGGCCACAUUGGAACUGAGACACGGUCCAAACUUCUACGGAAGGCAGCAGUAGGGAAUCUUGCACAAUGGGCGAAAGCCUGAUGCAGCAACGCCGCGUGAAGGAUGAAGGCCUUCGGGUUGUAAACUUCUGUUCUAAGGGAAGAAACAAAUGACGGUACCUUAGGAGCAAGCCCCGGCUAACUACGUGCCAGCAGCCGCGGUAAUACGUAGGGGGCAAGCGUUAUCCGGAAAUAUUGGGCGUAAAGAGUGCGUAGGUGGUUACCUAAGCGCAAGGUUUAAUUUAGAGGCUCAACCUCUACUUGCCUUGCGAACUGGGCUACUUGAGUGCAGGAGGGGAAAGCGGAAUUCCUAGUGUAGCGGUGAAAUGCGUAGAUAUUAGGAGGAACACCAGCGGCGAAGGCGGCUUUCUGGACUGUAACUGACACUGAGGCACGAAAGCGUGGGUAGCAAACAGGAUUAGAUACCCUGGUAGUCCACGCCGUAAACGAUGAGCACUAGGUGUUGGGCCCGUUAGGCUCAGUGCCGCAGUUAACGCAAUAAGUGCUCCGCCUGGGGAGUACGCUCGCAAGAGUAAAACUCAAAGGAAUUGACGGGGACCCGCACAAGCAGCGGAGCAUGUGG